UACGGAGGGUGCGAGCGUUGUCCGGAAUCAUUGGGCGUAAAGGGCGCGUAGGUGGCAGGCCAAGCGUGCGGUGAAAGCUCGGGGCUCAACCCCGGGUCGGCCGUGCGAACUGGCGUGCUGGAGCACUGUAGAGGCAGGCGGAAUUCCUGGUGUAGCGGUGAAAUGCGUAGAGAUCAGGAAGAACACCGGUGGCGAAAGCGUUCUGCUAGACCUGUACUGACACUGAGGGACGAAAGCUAGGGGAGCGAAUGGG
rnacentral:rRNA from 1 species